GAGCAGUGGACAGACUCCUAAUACCCUUAUUACAGUCCAGCACAUGCUGCGUGAGAGCACUUGGUGGCACAGUUCCUGCUGGAAUUAAUGAUCUUCCCAGUAUGUCUAGAGAUGGCUCGAUGGUGGAUAGUUCUGUGUCGUAGCCCAAGCUCCGCGGGGACAGGGAGUUUCGAUGAAAGAAGAGGCUACCUGCAGAAAAAGGGACAGGAGAAAACGCCAUGACUAUUACAGCGUCUCUAUCCUCCAGGAAGUGAACCAUCGCUCGUCGUUCCGGCUCCCGUGGACCGUUGAGUACCGCCUAAGGGCGUAAAUCUUACGCACCUUCACAGGAAUUCAGACAGAAAGUGGCAGUGAUAUUGGUACUGAAAAAAAUUAGAAGCAAAAAAUCCCUACAGAUGUGUCUUUUAACAGCUUGGAUUCAGUCGUGCCAAAUAGCCCCUCCCAGCGCGUCAGGUCCAUGCGCCUCGGCCGCACAAAGUGUUUUUUUGCCCAGGGAGAGUGAAACCCCGUCCUGUGCAAGUAUGAGAAAGCAUGUGUACGUCUUGCGAAAAUUCCGCCAGAUAGCGUGCAUAUGCAAAUCCGUUCACAACUCACUCACCAUCGAAUGAUUUUUCCAGUCUGUGCAGUGUGUGCGUAGCCCAGGACUUACUCCUACAGUGCGCUACAAACAGGCUGAUCGAGUCCGGAGCUGACGUUACACACCUGCCCUGAAAACGCUUGGGAACGCCUGCGUUUUUCCUGACACUCCCAGAAAACGACCAAUUACCACCCCUAAAUGUCCUCUUCCUGUCAAUCACCUUGCAAUUAAAAUUUUUGGACCAUCCUGUCGCUGUUUGGCAGCACGCCGCACAUUGCGGUGCAUACGCAUGUGCGGUCAUUCGAUAAUCGGCCGCUGUGCGAAUUCACACAACAGCGAUCAGGUCUGAAUCGGGCCCACAGAUCACUGCGCUGUGCGACAUUUGUACAUCGGCGUGCUGAAUCUGAAUCUGUAUAAAAAGGUCUCGAAUGCAGCUUUUCUUCAUGACGAGUUCUGUUGUACUUCAUCUGUGACUUUGUAGGAGUGUAAAACCAAUUCCUGUCACAGUCCAGUGUCUCUGGUACACCGAUGGCUUUUUGCUGCAUCUGCGAUGACACCAAGACACACAUGUUAUAGAAAAAUACAGUACACUACUCCUCUCAGAGGGUCCAAGUUGCCCCGGAUGUCUUGCGCCAUAUGGCGUAAAGACGCUUAAUGAAUGAGGACAAGCCUGCAUCUUCUGCUGACUCGCGCGUCUUAAAACAUGUUUAAGGAGGCUCUAUACUUUAUUUAACAAUAUGUUGCUUGUAGUUUCUCUGUAGAUGCCCCUGUUUUACUAUAACUCGGAAGAUGGGCGCGUUUCAGGACUCUUUAAUGUCAUGUUAUUUGUGUGAUGCUGCCUAAGUAAAAUAAAAUAAAGUAACAACUGCCUUCAAAUAAAAUAAAAAAAGAUGUAAAGGAC